GAUGAGCGCUGGCGGCGUGCCUAAUACAUGCAAGUCGAACGGGGAGUAGCAAUACUCUUAGUGGCGAACGGGUGAGUAACGCGUUGGUACCUGCCCCGAAGCGGGGGAUAACGGACCGAAAGGUCCGCUAAUACCCCAUGUGCUCGGUAACGAGUAAAGGUGAAAACCACUUUGGGAGGGGCCUGCGUCCCAUCAGCUAGUUGGUAAGGUAACGGCUUACCAAGGCGAUGACGGGUAGGGGACCUGAGAGGGUGGCCCCCCACAAUGGAACUGAAACACGGUCCAUACACCUACGGGGGGCAGCAGUAGGGAAUAUUGGUAAUGGGCGCAAGCCUGAACCAGCAACGCCGCGUGUGCGAUGACGGCCUUCGGGUUGUAAAGCACUUUUGACUGGGACGAGGAAGGACGGUACCGGUCGAAUCAGCCUCGGCUAACUACGUG
rnacentral:rRNA from 1 species